GUAGGUGGCAAGCGUUGUCCGGAAUUAUUGGGCGUAAAGCGCGCGCAGGCGGUCCUUUAAGUCUGAUGUGAAAGCCCACGGCUCAACCGUGGAGGGUCAUUGGAAACUGGGGGACUUGAGUACAGAAGAGGAAAGCGGAAUUCCAAGUGUAGCGGUGAAAUGCGUAGAGAUUUGGAGGAACACCAGUGGCGAAGGCGGCUUUCUGGUCUGUAACUGACGCUGAGGCGCGAAAGCGGGGGGAGCAAACAGGGAUUAGAUACCCUGGUAGUCCACGCCGUAAACGAUGAGUGCUAAGUGUUAGGGGGUUUCCCGCCCCUUAGUGCUGCAGCUAACGCAUUAAGCACUCCGCCUGGGGAUACGGCCGCAAGGCUG
rnacentral:rRNA from 1 species